UGCAGAAUCCCGUGAACCAUCGAGUUUUUGAACGCAAGUUGCGCCCAAAGCCUUCUGGUUGAGGGCACGUCUGCCUGGGCGUCACGU
rnacentral:rRNA from 1 species